rnacentral:rRNA from 1 species
UGGGAAUCUUGCGCAAUGGGCGAAAGCCUGACGCAGCGACGCCGCGUGGGGGAUGACGGGUUUCGGCUUGUAAACCCCUGUUGCCCGGGACGAACUUCUCCAUUCGUGGAGAUUGACGGUACCGGGUGAGGAAGCACCGGCUAACUCUGUGCCAGCAGCCGCGGUAAUACAGAGGGUGCGAGCGUUGUCCGGAAUCACUGGGCGUAAAGGGCGCGUAGGUGGCGUCGCAAGUCGAUGGUGAAAGCUCGGCGCUCAACGCCGAGUCGGCCCUUGAUACUGCGAGGCUCGAGCACUGUAGAGGCAGAUGGAAUUCCGGGUGUAGCGGUGGAAUGCGUAGAGAUCCGGAAGAACACCGGUGGCGAAGGCGGUCUGCUGGGCAGUAGCUGACACUGAGGCGCGACAGCGUGGGGAGCAAACAGGAUUAGAUACCCUGGUAGUCCACGCCGUAAACGAUGGGCACUAGAUGC